CUGGCUUGCCGUGACACAGUCUCUGCUCACUGCAAGCUCUACCUCCCAGGUUCAUGCCAUUCUCCUGCCUCAGCCUCCCGAGUAGCUGGGACUACAGGCGCCAGCCACCACGCCCAGGUGUGUCCAAAAGAAGAGGUGAACACAAGCCUCUUGGAGCAGAGUCUCAGGAAGAUAACGCCCAGGAAAAAUGACUUUCUGAAAAAGUUCUGCGGUGUUUCCAGGUGUUGACAACUAUCCUUCCUCAAAGAAAUGAACUUGCAUCUUCAUCGUGGUAAGACACUCCCCCCAGCAUUGCAGUUAUGUAGCUUUCUGUGCCUUCCUAGGAAAAUGGUUUACAAGUGUGACUGGUUUUCCUUCAAAAGUUAUAUUUUAAAUGUGGGGUGUUUUCACAGAAUAAUGUGUAAAUGCCCCUCAUAAAAUACCUUGUAUGUGCCUUGUAUAUAGCUUUAUUUCCUAACAGUGUGCAAAAAGAGUAUAAGAAGAAAAAAAUCACUUGUUAUUCAUGUUUACCCUGUGCAUGACCUACCUACAUCAUUGUUUAAUCUAUUAGUAAUAACUGUUAAACAUAUUAUUUGAAGUUACUGCAACUGUUAGAUGUGUUUGAACUUGCCUGGUCCACCCUUGUAGUCUAUGUACUCUCUGUUAUGAAAGUCAUGCUGCCUUAUGGAGAGUUAAGAGCUCUCAUUUGAGUGCUAGUUUUGCAACAACUUAAUGAGAAUGACUUGCCACCUUUAGUGAAUAGAUUAAAAAAAAAACUGUAGCUGGACGCAGUGGCUCACACCUGUAAUCCCAGCACUUUGGGAGGCUGAGGUGGGCGGAUCACCUGAGGGCAGGAGUUGGAGACUAGCCUGGCCAACAUGG